rnacentral:rRNA from 1 species
GAUGAACGCUGGCGGCGUGCUUAACACAUGCAAGUCGAACGGUGAUGCCCAGCUUGCUGGGUGGAUUAGUGGCGAACGGGUGAGUAACACGUGAGGAACCUGCCCUUGCCUCUGGGAUAAGCCGGGGAAACUGGGUCUACUAACGGAUACGACCAUCUGGCGGCUGGCGUGGGGGUGGAAAGCUUUUGUGGUUGUGGAUGGGCUCGCGGCCUAUCAGCUUGUUGGUGGGGUAAUGGCCUGCCAAGGCGACGACGGGUAGCCGGCCUGAGAGGGUGACCGGCCACACUGGGACUGAGACACGGCCCAGACGCCUACGGGAGGCAGCAGUGGGGAAUAUUGCACAAUGGGCGCAAGCCGGAUGCAGCGACGCCGCGUGAUGGAUGACGGCCUUCGGGUUGUAAACCUCUGUCAGUAGGGAAGAAGCGAAAGUGACGGUACCUGCAGAAGAAGCGCCGGCUAACUACGUG